AAUGACAACCUAAUCUCGUGAAUGUGUUUUAUUGAGAAACCCUCCAGUGUCCAUCCCUCGCCCAUCCAGAAUUCAAACCUCCCCCUCCAGUGUCCAACUCUCAGCUUCUAGAAAUCAAACCUCGCCCUCAAGUGUCCGAAUCUCGCCCUCCAGUUUCCAACCCUCGUCUUCCAGCAUCCAAAAGUCGCCAUCCAGAAAUCGACCCUGAACUUCUAGAGCUUAUCUUUGGCCUUCCAGGGCCCAACCCUAACCCUCCAGCAUCCAACCCUAACCCUCCAGCACCCAACCCUAACCCUCCAGCAUCCAACCCUAACCCUCGAGCGUCCAACCCUAACCCUCCAGCACCCAACCCUAACCCCACAACAUCCAACCCUAACCCUCCAGCGUCCACUCCUCGCCCUCCAGUGUUCCAUCUCCUUGACUUGCAGACAAACAAAACAUUGAACAAAUUCUUGCAGACCCAGACAGAUUCUUAUGUAACAGAGAGUCAGUGGUGCAGCUUCCCGCUAUCCAACCAGGUAACCCUUCAUCAGCUCCCAGCGACCCUUCAUCAGCUCCCAGCGACCCUUCAUCAGCUCCCAGCGAACCUCUGUCGGUGGUCCGGCCAAGACCCAGGAGGGUAUCCCAGCCAGCGGUCUGGCCUCAAGAGAGUUUCAGCCUUCAUCUUCGCCGCUGGCCUCCUGGGGGGUUCGGCCCACGCCUUCGCCGCCAGGCUCCAGUGGGUCCCAGCUCACGCCUUCGCCGCCGGCCUCCACUUCAACCACGAUGUGAUGAAGUGUUUUUUCUGUCUAAAUCCAACCAGAGCAUCAGCACAACAUUGUGACAAGAGAGAAAUACAAACGUAAAAAAGCUUGAAGUUGCAACAUAAAGAAAUAAAAGCUUCAGGUUAUUUGUGGUUUUACAGAACUGUACAAACAUUUAUCCUGCAGACUGGGUCAGUUUCAACAGGUAAGAAUCUAGAAAUAACAGAUGUUGUAUUGUAAAAAAAAUUUAUCAAUCUAAUAUUUACAUAAAACACAAUUCAAAAUAUUAUACAUGUUCACAAUUUAAAUACAACAACUGACAUCAUCAACCACAGUCAUGUCUGACAUCACAAAC
rnacentral:lncRNA from 1 species